rnacentral:rRNA from 1 species
AAUACAUGCAAGUCGAGCGGACAGAUGGGAGCUUGCUCCCUGAUGUCAGCGGCGGACGGGUGAGUAACACGUGGGUAACCUGCCUGUAAGACUGGGAUAACUCCGGGAAACCGGGGCUAAUACCGGAUGCUUGAUUGAACCGCAUGGUUCAAUUAUAAAAGGUGGCUUUUAGCUACCACUUACAGAUGGACCCGCGGCGCAUUAGCUAGUUGGUGAGGUAACGGCUCACCAAGGCAACGAUGCGUAGCCGACCUGAGAGGGUGAUCGGCCACACUGGGACUGAGACACGGCCCAGACUCCUACGGGAGGCAGCAGUAGGGAAUCUUCCGCAAUGGACGAAAGUCUGACGGAGCAACGCCGCGUGAGUGAUGAAGGUUUUCGGAUCGUAAAACUCUGUUGUUAGGGAAGAACAAGUACCGUUCGAAUAGGGCGGUACCUUGACGGUACCUAACCAGAAAGCCACGGCUAACUACGUGCCAGCAGCCGCGGUAAUACGUAGGUGGCAAGCGUUGUCCGGAAUUAUUGGGCGUAAAGCGCGCGCAGGCGGUUUCUUAAGUCUGAUGUGAAAGCCCCCGGCUCAACCGGGGAGGGUCAUUGGAAACUGGGGAACUUGAGUGCAGAAGAGGAGAGUGGAAUUCCACGUGUAGCGGUGAAAUGCGUAGAGAUGUGGAGGAACACCAGUGGCGAAGGCGACUCUCUGGUCUGUAACUGACGCUGAGGCGCGAAAGCGUGGGGAGCGAACAGGAUUAGAUACCCUGGUAGUCCACGCCGUAAACGAUGAGUGCUAAGUGUUAGAGGGUUUCCGCCCUUUAGUGCUGCAGCAAACGCAUUAAGCACUCCGCCUGGGGAGUACGGUCGCAAGACUGAAACUCAAAGGAAUUGACGGGGGCCCGCACAAGCGGUGGAGCAUGUGGUUUAAUUCGAAGCAACGCGAAGAACCUUACCAGGUCUUGACAUCCUCUGACAACCCUAGAGAUAGGGCUUCCCCUUCGGGGGCAGAAUGACAGGUGGUGCAUGGUUGUCGUCAGCUCGUGUCGUGAGAUGUUGGGUUAAGUCCCGCAACGAAGCGCAACCCUUGAUCUUAGUUGCCAGCAUUCAGUUGGGCACUCUAAGGUGACUGCCGGUGACAAACCGGAAGAAGGUGGGGAUGACGUCAAAUCAUCAUGCCCCUUAUGACCUGGGCUAACACGUGCUACAAUGGGCAGAACAAAGGGCAGCGAA